rnacentral:rRNA from 1 species
CCUACGGGUGGCAGCAGUGGGGAAUAUUGCACAAUGGGCGCAAGCCUGAUGCAGCCAUGCCGCGUGUGUGAAGAAGGCCUUCGGGUUGUAAAGCACUUUCAGCGGGGAGGAAGGCGUUAAGGUUAAUAACCUUGGCGAUUGACGUUACCUGCAGAAGAAGCACCGGCUAACUCCGUGCCAGCAGCCGCGGUAAUACGGAGGGUGCAAGCGUUAAUCGGAAUUACUGGGCGUAAAGCGCACGCAGGCGGUCUGUCAAGUCGGAUGUGAAAUCCCCGGGCUCAACCUGGGAACUGCAUUCGAAACUGGCAGGCUAGAGUCUUGUAGAGGGGGGUAGAAUUCCAGGUGUAGCGGUGAAAUGCGUAGAGAUCUGGAGGAAUACCGGUGGCGAAGGCGGCCCCCUGGACAAAGACUGACGCUCAGGUGCGAAAGCGUGGGGAGCAAACAGGAUUAGAUACCCGAGUAGUC